AAAAGUUAGAUGGCAUGGCAUCUUGGUCUAUUUCCCUGCUAUUCAAAUUUGAAAUUGGAAGAUAAUUAUCUGCAGUUAUCCAUUCCAGACUGUUUCUUGGAGUAGGCAACGACUGUCAAGGACCUUAUCUACCCUUGCAAUUCUGUUCUAGGCCUAUAUCCUCAGUCUGUAGAUAGUUCUGGUACGCGGUUGGAAAGGAGAGGAGAGGACAUGAGAUGAGAGGAUAGGAUUUACGACAGGAGAUGAGAGAAAUGAGAUGAGAGGAGAGCACUUUUAGGUGUCAGAGGCAACGGGAGAGAGGGGCUGUCGAAGGAUGCAUUGAGAUUCAGGAACAAGUGUGUAGACUGCAAACACCUGUCUCUCCUUAGAAAGCAUCCUCCAUUUGUACCAUGGCUGGUGCUAACAUUAGCAGUAUCUGUAGGUUCCUGUAAUCCAUCCAGAGUGAAGCCCUGCAAGCACCUGCAGCUGCAAACCCCUGAGAUGACGAGCACAGGGGACGGGACGGGAAGUAGUGGACGGAAGAAAGGAUAUAGGGAUGAGGACAAACAGAAGAGAGGAACACAAGGAGGGAGAGAUGUGUGAACAAAAAGAGCAAAAAUAACAGGUUGGGAGGAGACAGCAGGAUACAAAGGAGGAGGGGAGGAAGAGAGAGGAUAUCUUUGGAUAGCACAAUUGUUUAUACAAAUCAUGUUCCUCUGAUGACACAUUUCUGUAUUACCGCAAUCAAAACAAAAAUGUACUUUGUAACCGAGAACCCAGAUGAAACAUCUGGUCAUUAGCAAACACAUACAGCAGUCCUAUCCUCUGUUAUAAGAUGGUAACAGGUGGAGGAGAGAGCAGAAAGGGAGAGAGAAGAGGAGGAGGGUAGGAGGAGAGGAGGAGGAGGAGAGUGAGGAGGGGAAGAGAGGGGAGAAAAGAGAGGAGAGAGGAGACAUGAAUGAGCAGAAAGGAGGAGGAGGAGGAGGAAAGUGAUGUCCACUGCCUUGGACCCCC
rnacentral:lncRNA from 1 species